GACAAUGGGCGAGAGCCUGAUCCAGCCAUGCCGCGUGCAGGAAGACUGCCCUAUGGGUUGUAAACUGCUUUUGUAUAGGAAGAAACCUUUCCUCGUGAGGAAAAUUGACGGUACUAUACGAAUAAGGAUCGGCUAACUCCGUGCCAGCAGCCGCGGUAAUACGGAGGAUCCAAGCGUUAUCCGGAAUCAUUGGGUUUAAAGGGUCCGUAGGCGGAUUUAUAAGUCAGUGGUGAAAGUCUUCCGCCUAACGGGAGAACUGCCAUUGAUACUGUAGAUCUUGAAUUGUUAUGAAGUAGCUAGAAUAUGUGGUGUAGCGGUGAAAUGCAUAGAUAUCACAUAGAAUACCGAUUGCGAAGGCAGGCUACUAAUAAUAUAUUGACACUGAUGGACGAAAGCGUGGGGAGCGAACGGGAUUAGAUACCCCGGUAGUCCACGCCGUAAACGAUGGUUACUAGCUGUCCGGUCUAAUUGAGGACUGGGUGGCCAAGCGAAAGUGAUAAGUAACCCACCUGGGGAGUACGUUCGCAAGAAUGAAACUCAAAGGAAUUGACGGGGGCCCGCACAAGCGGUGGAGCAUGUGGUUUAAUUCGAUGAUACGCGAGGAACCUUACC
rnacentral:rRNA from 1 species